UAGAAGAGCAAUACGAUGAUGAUUUAAAUUGCGACUGUUCACCUGAGGCACCUUGUCAAGAAUCUGAAGAAUACGGUGAAGAAUACGCAGAAGAAGAUGAGUUUGUUUGCGCAUGUUCACCAAACGCUAUAUGUAAAAAAUCUCCCCACGAAAGGCAGUUGCUGGAAUUAACUGAUAUUGGUAAGUCCC
rnacentral:lncRNA from 1 species